rnacentral:rRNA from 1 species
GAGUUUGAUCAUGGCUCAGAUUGAACGCUGGCGGAAUGCUUUACACAUGCAAGUCGAACGGCAGCACGGGAGCUUGCUCCUGGUGGCGAGUGGCGAACGGGUGAGUAAUGCGUCGGAACGUACCGAGUAAUGGGGGAUAACGCACCGAAAGGUGUGCUAAUACCGCAUACGCCCUGAGGGGGAAAGCAGGGGAUCGUAAGACCUUGCGUUAUCCGAGCGGCCGACGUCUGAUUAGCUAGUUGGUGGGGUAAAGGCCUACCAAGGCGACGAUCAGUAGCGGGUCUGAGAGGAUGAUCCGCCACACUGGAACUGAGACACGGUCCAGACUCCUACGGGAGGCAGCAGUGGGGAAUUUUGGACAAUGGGGGCAACCCUGAUCCAGCCAUUCCGCGUGAGUGAAGAAGGCCUUCGGGUUGUAAAGCUCUUUCAGCUGGAACGAAACGGUACGCUCUAACAUAGCGUGCUAAUGACGGUACCAGCAGAAGAAGCACCGGCUAACUACGUGCCAGCAGCCGCGGUAAUACGUAGGGUGCGAGCGUUAAUCGGAAUUACUGGGCGUAAAGCGUCCGCAGGUGGUUUUUCAAGUCUGCUGUUAAAGCGCAGAGCUUAACUCUGUAACGGCGGUGGAAACUGAGA